GUGACAUUGUAUUUUAUCUUCUUCUGUCAAUUUUUAUCAAACUUUUUUUGUAUAUUUAGUAGGCAUGCGAAUAGGUCGUGAAGUAUUUUUCAUCUUCCUACCACUGCCCACCAUAUUUUAGUCGGAAAUGCUCUAUUUCUGAAUGUGUGUUACACGUUUUGUGACUGAGUUUGAGAGUGAACAAAAAGGAAAGAAACAUACGAAAUAGUAUAGCAGAACAGUCGUACGAAUCCAACAAGAUAACGAAAAUGUGUGUGUGAGCAUGUCGCAAUUGCGUGAAGCCCAAUAACAAGAGCACGGGUUGAAUGAAAUCCACAACGACUAUUGGACCGGAGACAACGGCUUGCUCACCGGCACGGAUCCAGAUUCAUGUUCACACGUUUGAGUUAUCCGUAAAAUUCCUGUCAUUGUUUUUACUAACAACAAGAUAUUUUUAAGGAAAACUAAUUUGUUUCCACGGGUUGUGUUUCUGCGAAGAUCAGAAAAAUUUCACCCAGCAAAAUCUCACAUUCAUUUACUAGUAAAACUUGUACCAUAUAUGUAUGUAUAUGUACUAUGUAAAUUCUACUAAGAAGAUUGCACACCCCCAUUAGCUUCAUAUAUUUUAUUUUGUUUUUGUUGUUGCAAACAUGCAGAUUCUUUACUGUUAUCUCUUCUGCUGUUAUCGUAUGCCCUUUCACUGGAAAAAAUUAAAUGCGUUAUUUAUUUUGAAGUUUACCAAGAAUCCAAGAUUUCAACUAGUGAAAUAUCCGAAAAAAAAGGAAGGAAUCGCAAAGCUAUAUCUAAUUUUGUAUGCAAUAAAUCAGAAUAUGGUAAAAACAACAAAGGCGCAAAGAUCAGAGAAAAAGUUGAUGUUAAAGCGAGCUUAUCUACGAUUCAGAGAUGGAUAAGGAACGUAAACUGAAGAAAAAGCCCCCACUUGACGAUUCCCGAACAAAGAUACGGCUAAAUUUUGCAAAAGAGCAUCAGACUUGGAAUUCUGAUUGGCACUAUGUGGUCUAUUCGGAUAAAAAAAAAUGUAGUUUAGAAGGUCCUGACGAAUACAAUUACUAUUUCCAUGAUCUAAGGAAGGAAGAGCACCAAUUGGAUCGUCUUAAUAGUCGGGCGGGAGGAGUGAUGGUGUGCUAUCUCCUACUAUGGUCAAUGUGAGAUUUUUUUUCGAGAUUUAGCAUGAAGUUUUCAACAUGACAACGCUCCGAUCCACACGUCCCUUGUGAUUAAAUCAGGGGCUGAAGACGAAAAUGUUAAAUUAAUGCAGUGGCCGCCUUACUCACCCGACAUAAAUAUAAUAAAUACCCCGUGGGGAUUGCUAGCUCGCAAUGUUUAAGAGUUUGGUAAACAAUACUCUAUUAAAGAAGAAUUUAUUGAAGUCAUCAAGAGUGCUUGGUCAGCCAUUUCUUUAAAUAUAAAUUUCCCAUCUUUGAGGUCAUUCUCAACAAAUAAGUUGGAAUAAUCGAAAUUACAAGUUUAAAAAUUUAUUCAUAUCUCAGAAGGUUAAAACAAAAUUAAAAAAGCGAUAUGUGCUAACCUGAUGACCAAAAUAAAAACUAAAUUUU